rnacentral:rRNA from 1 species
AUUGAACGCUGGCGGCAUGCCUUACACAUGCAAGUCGAACGGUAACAGGUCUUCGGAUGCUGACGAGUGGCGAACGGGUGAGUAAUACAUCGGAACGUGCCUAGUAGUGGGGGAUAACUACUCGAAAGAGUGGCUAAUACAGCAUGAGAUCUACGGAUGAAAGCAGGGGAUCGCAAGACCUUGUGCUACUAGAGCGGCCGAUGGCAGAUUAGGUAGUUGGUGGGAUAAAAGCUUACCAAGCCGAGGAUCUGUAGCUGUUCUGAGAGGACGAUCAGCCACACGGGGACUGAGACACGGCGCAGACUCCUACGGGAGGCAGCAGUGGGGAAUUGUGGACAAUGGGCGCAAGCCUGAUCCAGCAAUGCCGCGUGCAGGAUGAAGGCCUUCGGGUUGUAAACUGCUUUUGUACGGAACGAAAAGCCCUGGGUUAAUACCCUGGGGUCAUGACGGUACCGUAAGAAUAAGCACCGGCUAACUACGUGCCAGCAGCCGCCGCCGUAA